AUUCCUACGGGGCGCAGCAGUGGGGAAUAUUGCACAAUGGGGGAAACCCUGAUGCAGCGACGCCGCGUGAGUGAAGAAGUAAUUCGUUACGCAAAGCUCUAUCAGCAGGGAAGAAAUACUGACCUUACGGUCAGCAGACGGUACCUGAGUAAGAAGCCCCGGCUAACUACGUGCCAGCAGCCGCGGUAAUACGUAUGGAGCAAGCGUUAUCCGGAUUUACUGGGUGUAAAGGGAGCGCAGGCGGUCUGGCAAGUCUGAUGUGAAAUACCGGGGCUCAACUCCGGGACUGCAUUGGAAACUGUCAG
rnacentral:rRNA from 1 species